rnacentral:rRNA from 1 species
CAGUAACGGCGAGUGAAGCGGCAACAGCUCAAAUUUGAAAUCUGGCUCCUUUCGGGGUCCGAAUUGUAAUUUGUAGAGAGUGCUUCGGGCGAGACCUCGGUCUAAGUCCAUUGGAACAUGGUGUCAUAGAGGGUGAGAAUCCCGUAUGCGACCGUGGCUCGAGCCCAUGUGAAGCCUCUUCGACGAGUCGAGUUGUUUGGGAAUGCAGCUCAAAACGGGUGGUAAAUUUCAUCUAAAGCUAAAUAUUGGCUGGAGACCGAUAGCGCACAAGUAGAGUGAUCGAAAGAUGAAAAGCACUUUGGAAAGAGAGUCAAACAGUACGUGAAAUUGUUGAAAGGGAAGCGCUUGCAACCAGACCUGCCCGUAGGCGAUCAGCCGCUGUUCUCAGCGGUGCACUCGCUCUGCGAUCAGGCCAGCAUCGGUUUCGGCGGUCGGAUAAAGGCCUUGGGAAUGUAGCUUCCCUUCGGGGGAGUCUUAUAGCCCUCGGUGUAAUGCGGCCAGCCGGGACCGAGGACCGCGCUUCGGCUAGGAUGCUGGCGUAAUGGUUGUAAGCGACCCGUCUUGAAACACGGACCAAGGAGUCUAACAUCUAUGCGAGUGUUUGGGUGUCAAACCCAUACGCGGAAUGAAAGUGAACGGAGGUGAGAACCCUUAAGGGCGCAUCAUCGACCGAUCCAGAUGUCUUCGGAUGGAUUUGAGUAUGAGCAUAGCUGUUGGGACCCGAAAGAUGGUGAACUAUGCCUGAAUAGGGUGAAGCCAGAGGAAACUCUGGUGGAGGCUCGCAGCGGUUCUGACGUGCAAAUCGAUCGUCAAAUUUGGGUAUAGGGGCGAAAGACUAAUC